UACGUAGGGGGCAAGCGUUGUCCGGAAUCAUUGGGCGUAAAGCGCGUGUAGGCGGCCCGGUAAGUCCGCUGUGAAAGUCCAGGGCUCAACCCUGGAAUGCCGGUGGAUACUGUCGGGCUCGAGUCCGGAAGAGGCGAGUGGAAUUCCUGGUGUAGCGGUGAAAUGCGCAGAUAUCAGGAGGAACACCAAUGGCGAAGGCAGCUCGCUGGGACGGUACUGACGCUGAGGAGCGAAAGCGUGGGGAGCGAACAGG
rnacentral:rRNA from 1 species